GUCUCGACUCAGAGGUUAGAUCUCCAUGGCGUGUUGCUUCCACCAUUCUAAGAAUAAUCGUUGCAACAACUCCGUUAUGGAUGUCUAUGGGAUUAUAAGAAUCGAUCUGAUUGUUAUCGUCACAAACCCUCCUUCAUAAACAGAUUUGCCUCCUCUCUCUCUCUGUUUCUCCUGAAUUCCCGGGAAACUCGAGAUCAUACCUGCUCCGGAGCAUUGCUACUGUGAAUCAACACGGGAAAUAUACUCCGCUUGGAACGCCUCCAUUUGAUUGUGAAGGAUUCUUGUAGCACAACCGGUAACCAUUGACAACCGUACGAAUCUUAACUCUUAAUGAUUUCGCAGCUGAGGUCUUUGUGGAGGCUGGUUGACAAAGAAGCAGUGAAGCCCUCGACAAACAAAAGCAUAACCGCAGUUCAUGUAGUACCAAGGUAACUUGGAGCACCAAUGGAACCGAACACGCCAAUGACAAAACUAAGGAAGGCGGAAAAUGGGAAGAACUUAUGACACCCACAACAAAACACAUGUAAACAAUGACUUAGAAGUAUCAUAUCAUCUUCAUCUUGGUUGUUUUUGUUAGUUUGUGUUUUAGAACUCGCAAGUCAUAGAUCUUUACAUUUUUUAUUUUAUUUUUUCACAUGUAUUGUUCUAUCUAAGCACAUUUCCUCCAUAUAUUGUGAGUUCAUAGAAAUUUGUAAAUUUUUUUGGUAUGAUUUUCUUACAAUUGGCUUCUGACAUAUUAUUAGAUAUUACUUUUGUACUUUCCAUAAAUAUAAUAGAGACUAAAAGAAUUGCUAUAAGGGAUUGAUUUUUAGACGCUAAGGAAACAUAUCUAAGACUAUUUUUCAGUUACUAAAACGAGUAUAUUAUGCACUGAAAUGGCAUAGUAUUAGAAACUAAUUUUAAACCUCUUUUAUUAGGGACUGAAUUAACAUGAAAUCACGAACCUAACAAAACGUAUUAACGACAAUAUCUACAUGUUUCGAGGACUCAUUUUCAGUCCCUAAAGUUAUACAUUAGGGACUGAAAUAUCAUAGUAUCCAAGACUGAUUUGCAGUCACUGAAGAAAUGUAUUGGGUACUAAAAUAACAUGGUACCUGGGAACAAAUUAAGGACUAAAUCUUUAUAUAUCGGAGACUGAUCGUUAGUGCUUGUUGGUAUCAUACAAUGGGGACUGAUUUUUAGUUACUAAAACCACUAUCUAGUACUAGGUAUCCGGGACUGGCUGGGGACUAGAAAAUCAGUCUUCGAUAACCAUUAGGGACUGAUUUGGAUGCAUCAAAGACUGAUUUUUUAGUCUCUAAUAUUCAUUUUUUUUUGUAGUGUGAUAUGGAGUCUUCGUCACAAUAAGUCUUCGUCCACAUUGAUUAUUUGGACGAACCUUAAGUUUUCGUCGCCGUCGCCUGUAGUCUUCGUCACAUUGAGUCUUCGCCAUGUGGAGUCUUCGCCACAAGUAGUAUUGUUCAUGUGAACAUAAUCCCACGAAGACUCCUCAUUCUUCGUGAAAAGGAGACUCCAUGAAGACUAUUCAAUCUUCUUGGAUAUCACAACUUGCAGAUGCAGAACAUGUGUUAACAUUUCUUGUACCGGGUCAAGAUAGGAGGAUAUCUUGACCCCGGCCUUCACGUGUAACGUGUGCGAACCGAAACGAGCCGUAUCCACGUAAAGUGCAUCAACAAACUCCCCCUUGGAGGCUGCUCGUGAGGUUUGUCUACACAAUAUCGUCGGAUCUUUAAAGUCUUCACAAGUCACGGACAGGGAGUGUAUCAACAAACUCCCCCUUGAAUGUUGCUCGUGAAACAUUGAUCUUCGAAUUUUAGAUCCUUGCGGUGUUGAGAAGUGGUCAGCAGCAACUCGAUCAUCUUGUUCUUUUUCUUCUUAAUUUAAUUUUUUUCUCAAAUGAACCUUCCCCUUAUUACAUAUAUCCCCUUAUUUAGAUCAUUAAUUACAUAUUUACUCAACCUUAAAAUUAAAUUACAUAUUUCCCCUCUUAUAAGGUUAAGGACAAAAAUGCCCUCACAGU
rnacentral:lncRNA from 1 species